rnacentral:rRNA from 1 species
AACGAACGCUGGCGGCAGGCCUAACACAUGCAAGUCGAGCGCCCCGCAAGGGGAGCGGCGGACGGGUGAGUAACGCGUGGGAACGUACCCUUUGCUACGGAAUAGCCUCGGGAAACUGGGAGUAAUACCGUAUGUGCCCUUCGGGGGAAAGAUUUAUCGGCAAAGGAUCGGCCCGCGUUGGAUUAGGUAGUUGGUGGGGUAAUGGCCUACCGAGCCGACGAUCCAUAGCUGGUUUGAGAGGAUGAUCAGCCACACUGGGACUGAGACACGGCCCAGACUCCUACGGGAGGCAGCAGUGGGGAAUCUUAGACAAUGGGCGCAAGCCUGAUCUAGCCAUGCCGCGUGAGCGAUGAAGGCCUUAGGGUUGUAAAGCUCUUUCAGUGGGGAAGAUAAUGACUGUACCCACAGAAGAAGCCCCGGCUAACUCCGUGCCAGCAGCC